rnacentral:rRNA from 1 species
CAGCAGCCGCGGUAAUUCCGGCGGCCCGAGUGGCGGUCACUAUUAUUGGGCUUAAAGCGUCCGUAGCCGGGCUGGGAAGUCCUCCGGGAAAUCUGGCCGCUUAACGGUCAGAAUGCCGGAGGAUACUCCCAGCCUAGGGAGCGGGAGAGGCCGAGGGUAUUCCCGGAGUAGGGGUGAAAUCCUAUAAUCCCGGGAGGACCACCUGUGGCGAAGGCGCUCGGCUGGAACGCGUCCGACGGUGAGGGACGAAGGCCAGGGGAGCAAACCGGAUUAGAUACCCGGGUAGUCCUGGCUGUAAACGAUGCGGACUUUGUGUCGGACAAGCUAUGAGCUUGUCCGGUGCCGGAGGGAAACCGUUAAGUCCGCCGCCUGGGGAGUACGGCCGCAAGGUUGAAACUUAAAGGAAUUGGCGGG